AUGCAUGGAGAAAAGGCCUUCACAAGCCUCUGCUAACGUCUACAUAGUUUAUACUAAGUGACCCAUAGAUUGAGGAGGCGGUGACCGUGGCAGUGUAGGUGGAAGCAGUGGUGGAGGAGGAGGAUGAGGUAGCCAACACUGGUUUGUUUUUUUUUUGUUUUUUUUAUUGGGACAUAUAAAAAAGACAACUCUGUUCCGAAGAGUAGCUAUUGACAUAGUUGCACAGGCACUUUGUUGACUCUAGAGAACCUCGGGCCAAUCACACAUCCCCGUGACGGCGACUUUGCAUUCGGAUGUCAUUCAUCAACUUUCGAUGCCAGUUUCUGCGCCUACCCUAGUGACCACGGGUAACGGGGAAUCAGGGUUCCAUUCCGUACAGAAACCCUGAGAAACGGCUACCACAUGCAAGGAUGGCAGCA